rnacentral:rRNA from 1 species
GAGUUUGAUUCUGGCUCAGGAUGAACGCUGGCGGCGUGCUUAACACAUGCAAGUCGAACGGGCGAAUUAUAUCGGAGGUCUUCGGGCCGAAGAGAUAAUAAGCUAGUGGCGGACGGGUGCGUAACGUGUGGGUAAUCUGCCUUUGUCAUAGGAAUAACUGCUUGAAAAAGUAGCUAAUACCAAAUAACAUAUCGUAUAGGCAUCUAUAAGAUAUCAAAGAGAAAUCGGACAAAGAUGAGCCCGCAUCUGAUUAGCUGGUUGGUAGGGUAAAAGCCUACCAAGGCGACGAUCAGUAGCCGGCCUGAGAGGGUGAACGGCCACAUUGGAACUGAGACACGGUCCAAACUCCUACGGGAGGCAGCAGUGGGGAAUAUUGCACAAUGGGGGGAACCCUGAUGCAGCAACGCNGCGUGAGUGAAGAAGGCUUUCGAGUCGUAAAACUCUGUUGUAAGGGAAGAUAAUGACCGUACCUAAAGAGCC